AGUUAGGCUAACUUUUGUCUCUCUGUUGUCCCUAAUCGGACUAAGAAAAGCCACGUGAUCUUGAGCAGAACAAGGAACAUUUCAGCCCCCCGGCCUGUAACAGGGAAGAAUCUUAUGAGCACCGUCUUUGGCAAACCAAAGCUCAGAGUCACCAGGGAGGAGCUUGGACACCGAGUGAGGAGAGAGACCACCACGCAGUUUCAAAGCGGCGGCGCCUGUGGCUGGGUGUGUGGAGUGGAGGGUCCUGACUGUGAAGGUGAUCUCCUCGCCCCCAGGCUCCCAGCUCUGUUACAGGCCUGGGUCUGAGGCUGCUGUGUCCAGGAGCAUCCAGGCAGAGCACCCUGGAGCCCGAAGCAGAGUCCCACUCAAUGCUUACCCAUGCUUCAGGCAUGGAGGCCACCCGCUGUGCCAGCUUGUGAUGGGGAUGGUGGGAAGUACAGCCGCCUCUCCUCCAGGCCGGAUGUUUCCUUGCUUCCUCGGGAAGUUGGGGCCAAGGGAGCCGUGCACCCUCUGCUUUUGUACAGUUCUCCAGAAACGACAGAGGCGUCCCACUUCUUUUACAGCCUGUAUUUAUUUCUCAUGAAGUUAAAAAGAAAGCAAACUGUUGUGCUGCCUCCUGGUCUCUGAGGUCAGGGUGGAUGCUCAGUCCUGUGAUCCUAUGUACUGAAUGAUCUCCUUCUUCAGAUGAGAAAAUGAAGUGACAGCCACAGGCAUGACAGCCCUC
rnacentral:lncRNA from 10 species